CAAAAUGUGAGUUUUUAGGGGUUAAGUAUUGUCAUGUCUAGGGUUCCCUGGUGGACUCAAAAUGCAGACUUGCAGUUCUCACCUUAGUGUGUUUAAUUGCAAUGAAUGAUUCAGAAACAAAUUACGCUGGGGUUAGGGGUGAAGAAAAAGGGGAAAUCAAAGUUGGGAGCACGGUCCCCGAAGGGGGCCGCGCUCCAAUGCACAGACCAUACCUGCUCCCAUCUCAGGCAUCCAGGACCCCCCCAGUGGAGUUCCAAAUGGAAUGUCAUAGAUGCGGUUCGAGAGGUGGGGGGAGGAGGGGUGUAGAGGUUAGGGCGUUGGUUACGGCCCCGUCCCCCCUGGGGGGGACCGAGGAAUGCGCGGUCCUUCCCUCCUGGGCCCCUCCCUCCCCGGUCCCAAGAAGACCAGUCCUGGUCCUGAGAUUGGGGUCGAGAAGUCUUAUUGGUCCGCACACGGGGGUUAGGGUUUAGGAAAAAGAACAGGGACCCAGCAGCCGCUGCACCCCUGUGGAGGCACGCUCACGUCGAAUGAAGUGGGCAGAUGUCCCCCGUUCAAAAAAUUGCCCAUAUAGGGUGAUAAUUGGCCAACUGUGCAUCGUUGGGCCGUCGCGACGUUUCGGCGUAACUUGGCCUUCUUCAAGCUGGCCCAACGUGUCUGUGUGUUCGUGUUGUGUGCCUGUCUCGGCUUUUAUACUGUCUGUCUCCACCCACUCUGGGUUUUCUGUUUUUUAUUUAACUUUCUUUUCUUUGUACUUCUGUUUCUCAGUUUGUUCUUUUUCUAUCUUGUCCUUGUCUUUUUCGUGACCUUACUGUGCUCUCUUUGUCUUUUUCUGUUGUUCUUUGUUCUGUACUCUUUCUUUUUCUGUUGUUAGGGUUUGGGUAAAGAAAGGGGUCCCAGGCAGAAGUCUGGGUCCCCGGAUGCACGCUCACUCGACUGGGGUGGGCACUGAUGCCCCCGGAUCAAAAAAUUGCCCAUCAUUGGGUAGUAGUGGCCAUUAGUUUUUCUAUUGAGCCCGUCGCGACGUUUCGGCGUUACUUCGCCUUCAUCAGGCUGGGCUCAAUGAGGGUAGGGACUGGUUUGUCCUCUAUUUAUACUUUUUCUUUUCUUAGCUUUUCUUUCUGACUUUCUUGUCUUACUUUUUUCUGUUUCUUCUUACUUAGGUUUUUUCUUGGCUUUCUAAUUUUUUCUGUACUUAGUUUUUUCUAUUUUUCUCUCUAUUCCUCUUUUCCUCUCAACCCUACUUGGGGAGCUUUCUUACUCUCUCUCUUUUCUCUUCUCAACCCUACUUGGGGAGCUUUCUUUUCUAUCCCUUUUUCUUUAUGGCACCCCCUAUUCCUUAGUCCACUCUGUCUAUCAUCUUGUUUUUCUGGCACCCCCAUCCUUAGUAACCACUCUAUUUAGGCUUCUUUUUCUGUUUUUUGUUUUUCCAUUUUUUUAGGCUUUUUUCUGUUUUUUCUGGGGUUGGGACAGGGAGGGGGGGAUAGGUUAGGGUUAGGGUUAGGGUUAGGGUUAGGGUUAGGGGUAGGGUUAGGGUUAGGGUGUGGAAAAGGAAACAGGGUCCCAGCAAUUGCUGGUCCCCUGUUGGUGCACUCUCACUCGACUGGAGUGGGCAUUGAUGCCCCCUGAUCAAAAAAUUACCCAUCUUGGGUUAUAGUUGCUAGCUGUUUAUGAUUGAGCCCGUCGCGACGUUUCGGCGUUGUUUCGCCUUCAUCAGGCUGGGCUCAAUGAUGUAGGGACUGUCUUGUCCUCUAUUUAUAUGUUUCCCUUAACUUAGGUUUUCUUUGUGACUUUCUUGUCUUCUAUUUCUCUGUUUCUUCUUACUUAGGUUUCUUUCUGCAUUUUCUUAGCUUUUUCUGUGCUUUUUUCUGUUUUUCUCAACCCUGCUUGGGGAGUUCUAUUUUUCUGUUUGUCUCAACCCUACUUGGGGAGCUUUUCUUUUAUGUGCUUUAUUCUUAGCUUUCUCUGUACUUUUU
ensembl:lncRNA